CACGUAGGGGGCAGGCGUUGUCCGGAUUUAUUGGGCGUAAAGAGCUCGUAGGUGGUUCGGUAAGUCAGGUGUGAAACCUCCAGGCUCAACCUGGAGACGCCACUUGAUACUGCUGUGACUGGAGUCCGGUAGGGGAGCGUGGAAUUCCUGGUGUAGCGGUGAAAUGCGCAGAUAUCAGGAGGAACACCAGCGGCGAAGGCGGCGCUCUGGGCCGGUACUGACACUGAGGAGCGAAAGCGUGGGUAGCAAACAGG
rnacentral:rRNA from 1 species